rnacentral:misc_RNA from 1 species
UCAUAUUUUAGCAAUAUGGCGGACAGAGAUAACCUGUUAUCUGUCUCAUGGCACGACAGCGCCUGGAUCCCAAUGUUGAAUGCACAGAACGUGAUGGAUUACUUCAGCGAGCGAUCAAACAGUUUUUAUGACAGGACGUGCAAUAAUGAAAUCAUCAAAAUGCAGCGGCUUAACCCAGAGCAACUCAAUAACAUGACGGGUGUUGAAUACAUUCUACUCCAUGUACAAGAACCAAUCCUAUAUAUUGUAAGAAAGCAGCAUAGACAUUCCCCAAAUCAAGUGACAGCGCUUACUGAUUACUACAUCAUAGCUGGGGUUGUAUACCAGGCUCCAGACCUUGGCUCAGUCGUCAGUUCACGAUUGCUGAAUGCAACAUUUAACCUCCAGUCUUCCUUUGAAGAAGCCCAGUCUUACUCCAGAUACCACCCAUCUAAGGGCUACUGGUUUGAGUUCAAAGACAAAGAUCAAGCAGAAUCCAGUAAGAAAGAUGGGAAGAAGAAAAAAGAAGAGCCGAGCUCUAUAUUCCAAAGGCAGCGGGUAGAUGUUCUCCUUACAGACCUCGCAAACAAAUUCCCUCCUAAACAGCCACCCCCUCCUGCCCCAGUGGAGAAGCAAGAAGAUGUUAAAGCUGAGAAACCUGCCACAAUACCAAAUAUUAAACGAGAAAAACCAGAUGAUACUCAAGGACAGAAUAAAGUAAAUGGAAAUAGACAACCACCUGAAAAGAAACCAAAGUUAAUGAGGUGAUAGUGAUACAGCGAAUUGAAAUUCGUGAAAUUGCAAUAAUGAAGCAUCCCGAGCCAUGCUCCUCUAUUCUGAACUGAGGAACUUGCAUGUACACAGUGUGUAGAUGAUGCCACCAUAUUCACAAAUCACCCUAUAUACAUGUACAUGUAUGUUUAAUAUGUGGACCUGAAUACUGAACAGUGCAGGCUCGGGAAAACAUGUCUAUUUACAGGUGAUAUUUUAUACGAAUGACUUUAAUAUCAUCAUUGGAUAUUGCCAAAUAAUGUUCAAAUGCUUGAGUACAUGUAGUAUAGUGCAGAAUGUGGAAUCAGAAUGUAAAAUCAGUAUAUCUGAACAACUCUGUGAUCCAAACGCUAGCUCUCAAUACGAACACUUUCUCGGUUCUAAUUUUGUAAUCUCCCAUUGACUUCCCUGUUAAAAAAACUUAAAAUGUGAAUACCUGAUUUUUGAACACUUUUGGCUAGUUCUCUUGGUGUUCAGAUCAAAUAAUUCACCUGACUCCCCCUAUGAUAUGUGGAUCAUUUAUAUUCGGCUCAUCCAUUUAUAGAGUUAGUACACGAGACUGUUACCAUUGAUAAGCAAUAGGACAUAUGUAUAUGAAUAAAAUAAAAAAGUCAGAAUUCCUUGUUUGUUUUAAACACUUUACAUCAAGAGAAAAUAGCCUUGAUUGAUGUAGGUGUUAUGACAGUAUUUCAAAGGAUUUUUUUUCAAAAGAAUAAAAGAUUUACAAUAUUGAGCAUCAUGGUAAAAGGUUGGAUUCUUUAAAAAAUUAUGUUACAAUAAAUUAGGAUGAAAAAACGAAGGUUGACAGCACGGACAACCAUACUGUUCCCCACCAAUGGAUCCUGGAAUCCGGUUAUCACAUCUUCAGAUAUUGACACUCUGAUAUCAAAUGUGGGAAGAACAUUUACAGCCACAUAUCCAUCGAACGGACCCUGGGCUCCUCCUAUGGCUAUGAAUGCGUCAAAUGUAACCCAAGAACAACAUUAUUUUCACUGUAACACUUGUGAGAUAAAAAUUAAACACAAAGUUUCAUAUAUAUUACAUAAAAGUCUUCAUGAUACAAAUAUCCCUUUUAAAUGCUCAAGCUGUAAUAAAAUAUUUUAUGAUGGACCAACUUUCCUUCAACAUACCUGUUUGUUUUAUUGUGAUUAUGAGUGAUUUAAAGUGACUGAUUUAAAGUGACUGCAAACCACCCCCCAACUGGCCAAAAAAUCUUUCAAAAUCAUGCAGUUUUUCACCAUUCUGAGC